AUUGAACGCUGGCGGCAUGCCUUACACAUGCAAGUCGAACGGCAGCACGGGAGCUUGCUCCUGGUGGCGAGUGGCGAACGGGUGAGUAAUACAUCGGAACGUACCCUGAAGUGGGGGAUAACGUAGCGAAGUUACGCUAAUACCGCAUAUUCUGUGAGCAGGAAAGAGGGGGAUCGCAAGACCUCUUGCUUUAGGAGCGGCCGAUGUCGGAUUAGCUAGUUGGUGAGGUAAAGGCUCACCAAGGCGACGAUCCGUAGCGGGUCUGAGAGGAUGAUCCGCCACACUGGGACUGAGACACAGCCCAGACUCCUACGGGAGGCAGCAGUGGGGAAUUUUGGACAAUGGGCGCAAGCCUGAUCCAGCCAUGCCGCGUGAGUGAAGAAGGCC
rnacentral:rRNA from 1 species